rnacentral:rRNA from 1 species
UACGUAGGUGGCAAGCGUUGUCCGGAUUUACUGGCCGUAAAGAGCGCGCAGGCGGUCAGAUAAGUCGAAUGUGAAAGCCCCCGGCUCAACUGGGGAGGGUCAUUCGAUACUGUUCGACUCGAAGGCAGGAGAGGGAAGUGGAAUUCCCGGUGUAGUGGUGAAAUGCGUAGAUAUCGGGAGGAACACCAGUGGCGAAGGCGACUUCCUGGCCUGUUCUUGACGCUGAGGCGCGAAAGCUAGGGGAGCAAACGGG